AUUCAGAUAGCUUAUUAGAGCUUCGUUUUGAAGAGUCGAGGGUGGACAUGGUUGUUCUCUGAAUA
rnacentral:tRNA from 1 species